ACCAUAAUAUAUAAUAUUGCUCUGAUAAGAACUUAGGAGUUACCUUAAUACACAAAAAAAAUGAAUCUUAUUUUGUCAAUUGCAUUCGUUUUUGUUUGCUUUGCAAAUGUAGUAUGGUCGGAUGACUGUCCUCCUCACUGGAUUAAGCACGGAUUUUCUUGUUACCUGUUCAUUAAAGAUGUUCCCGAGGACUUCAUCGAAGCCGGGUCAUUUUGUCAAAGGUGUGGAUCCAAGUUGGUGGAAAUUGAGACAGUUGACGAAAACAACUUUCUCCGCUCACAUAUC